UACGUAGGGUGCAAGCGUUGUCCGGAAUUAUUGGGCGUAAAGGGCUCGCAGGCGGUCUGUCACGUCGGGAGUGAAAACUCAGGGCUUAACCCUGAGCCUGCUUCCGAUACGGGCAGACUAGAGGUAUGCAGGGGAGAACGGAAUUCCUGGUGUAGCGGUGAAAUGCGCAGAUAUCAGGAGGAACACCGGUGGCGAAGGCGGUUCUCUGGGCAUUACCUGACGAUGAGGAGCGAAAGUGUGGGGAGCGAACAGG
rnacentral:rRNA from 1 species